rnacentral:rRNA from 1 species
UGACCGACAAUGUCGACUAGCCUUAGUUGGUGUCCUUGAGAUCGUAUGAGCUGUGCGCGAAGCUAACGCGAUAAGUCGACCGCCUGGGGAGUACGGCCGCAAGGUUAAAACUAGCCAAAUGAAUUGAGCGGGGGCCCGCACAAGCGGUGGAGCAUGACUGGUUUAAUUCGAUGAUCAGCAACGCGAAGAACCUUACCUGGCCUUGACAUGCACAGAACUUUCCAGAGAUGGAUUGGUGCCUUCGGGCGAAACUCUGACACAGCCGUGCUGCAUGGCUGUCGUCAGCCUUCGUGUCGUGAGAUGCUUUGGGUUGGGAAGUCCCGUAACGAGCGCAACCCUUGUCGCUUAGUUACCAGCACCUCGGGUGGGCACUCUAAGGAGACUGCCGGUGACAAACCGGAGGAAGGUGGGGAUGACGUCAAGUCAUCAUGGCCCUUACGGCCAGGGCGUACACACGUGCUACAAUGGUCUGUACAAAGGGUUGCCAAGCCGCGAGGUGGAGCUACAUCCCAUAAAACCGAUCUGUAGUCCGGAUCGCAGUCGUGCAACUCGACUGCGUGAAGUCGGAAUCGCUAGUAAUCGUGAAUCAGAAUGUCAGCGGUGAAUACGAUUCCCGGGCCUUGUACUGACACCGCCGCGUCACACCAUGGGGAGUGGGUUGCUCCAGAAGUACUGCUAGUCUACACCGUAAGCGAGGACGGUUAGCCACUGAGUGAUUCAUGACUGGGGUGAAGUCGCUAACAGGGAAACCCGACUAAAAAGGGGAGGCGGCCACACGG